AAGGUUUGGUCCUAGCCUUAUAGUCAAUUUUUACUUAAUUUACACAUGCAAGUAUCCGCGCCCCUGUGAAAACGCCCUUUAAUCCCCAGUGGGGAUAAGGAGCUGGUAUCAGGCACAUCUAAACUGCCCAAAACACCUAGCUAUGCCACACCCACAAGGGACUUCAGCAGUGAUUAAAAUUGAACAUCAGCGACAGCUUGAUUCAGUUAAAGUAAACAGAGCCGGCCAAUCUGGUGCCAGCCGCCGCGGUUACACCACGUGGCUCAAAUUGAUUAUUACCGGCGUAAAGAGUGAUUUAAGAGUCUUAAUUAUUGGCGUCAAAUCUGUACUAAGCUGUGACACGCUUGUCCCCUAGAAGUCCUAUAAACGAAAGUUACCCCAACUAAACCAACUUGAACUCACGACAGCCAAGAAACAAACUGGGAUUAGAUACCCCANNNNNNNNNNNNNNNNNNNNNNNNNNNNNNNNNAAUCGCCCGGGAACUACGAGCGAAGCUUAAAACCCAAAGGACUUGACGGUACCCCAAAUCCACCUAGAGGAGCCUGUCCUAUAAUCGAUAACCCCCGCUUUACCUCACCGCUUCUAGCUAAUCAGCCUGUAUACCACCGUCGUCAGCUUACCCCGUGAGCGAAAAAUAGUGAGCUUAAUGCCACUUCACCAACACGUCAGGUCAAGGUGCAACUUAUGAGGUGGGAAGAGAUGCGCUACACUCCCUACCCUAGGGCAUACGAAAAACUACCAAUGAAAUCUAGUUUGAAGGCGGAUUUAGAAGUAAAAAGAAACCAGAGAGUUCUUCUUAACUCGGCACUGGGGUGCGUACACACCGCCCGUCACCCUCCUCAAAGUCCCAUUAUAGUUUUUAACUUUAUCAUGACAAAACAGAAGAGGCAAGUCGUAACACGGUAAGUAUACCGGAAGGUGUGCUUGGAACCACAAUAUAGCUUAAC
rnacentral:ncRNA from 1 species